GGGGUGUGGAGCAUCUGUCCGUGACAUCUGUCACCCAUGGCUCACCAGCUGAUCUGGCUGGCUAGGCAGGUGUUCCCUUCUUCCCUCACUACUCCGUGUGCAUCCCUCCCAAAGCUGCGUGUUCCAUCAAAGAGGAUAACCUUCCUAACGGAGGAAGGCCUGGAGGAGGACAGAUCUUUGGUCAGGAGUAUACGAGUAGUGCUCCCAGGAUAAAACCUUCAAACAAGCUCUCAUUCUAGCCCUGGGUUUACAUUAUGAACACUCACGUGCCAGGAGACUGUUGAACCUUUUGCCUCCCUCUUGGGGAAGACAUG
rnacentral:snRNA from 1 species